rnacentral:misc_RNA from 1 species
CAACCAGCCGCGGCCGCCAGGGGGCGCGGAGGCAGUGGAGCCGCGGGCCUGCGCGAGACGGGGCCAUCGAUUGGGGAGGGCCGGCGCUAAUCGAAAGCGCCGCGUAGAGGUACACCAGCUGGGCCGGCGGAGCGCGUGCGGUCCCCUGGCCCGCAAUGCAUGGCAGCGCGGCCUACGCGCACGACGUCCCACCGACGCCCGCCGCGCCAGCGCGCCCCGUCCGAUGCCCAGCCUCGACGCCCACGCGAUCCCGACCGCGCCCGCUGGAGAGUCCGGUCGGGCUGCAGCAGACCGCAGCUGAGAACCCCUGCACCAUGAAGCCACGGAGGGCCCUGCUUCAACCAACAACAUGGGUAAUGGCAUGAACAAGGUGCUGCCGGGGGUGUACAUUGGCAACUUCCGAGACUCCAAGGACCCCGAGCAGCUCCAGGCCAACAACAUCACGCACAUCAUAUCCAUCCACGACACGGCCAGGAAGCUGCACGAGGACAAAGAAUACCUCUGCAUCCAGGCGUCAGACACCCCCGGCCAGAACCUGUCGCAGUUCUUUUCCCAAUCCAAUGACUUCAUCCACCACGCUCGAAUGGAAGGCGGCAACGUCCUCAUCCACUGCCUCGCAGGGGUGUCUCGCAGCGUGACGAUCGCCGUGGCCUACGUGAUGUCCGUGACCAGCCUUAACUGGCGUGAGGCACUCAAGGCCGUGCGUGGAGCCCGGAGUAUCGCGAACCCGAACUUCGGGUUCCAGAAACAACUGCACGAGUACGAGUGCAGGAAACUGUAUGAGGAGCGCAAGAGGCUACGGCAGAAGUUCCCGCGCGAGAGCUUCUGUGAAGACGAGCAGGAGUGCCGCAAGCUACUCGCGGCCUACCACAACUCGGUGCGGCCCCUGGAGCCCAGUCCGAGCAUCUGCCGGCGUUCGGGCACCCAGGGCUUGACACCACCCUCGUCGCCCCGCAGGCGCCGCCACCGCAGCCCGUCUCCGUCGGCCGGCCCCUCAACGAGCUACGCCAGGCCGCCCUGAGAGCGGCCCGGACACCCGACGGGUGGUUGCAGCUCGCCGGGCCAGCCUGGUUCACACGGGUGGCCAUGCUCCUUCACCUGCACGUUUGACCCGCGUCAUGCAUUGCUACUACCCGCUAGGAAGUCAGUCUCGCCCCAAUAUGGCGGCGCAGCGGGCUCAGUGUAUGUGUCGGAGGACCCAUUGAGCGAAACUGAUGCCUUCUCUGUUCAUGGCCGCGCUGAAUUCGCGAGAGGUCAAGCUGUUCGUCCGACCAAGAAAAAAAAACUGGAAAAGAAACGGAGGCGAUUUAGCGUACAAGCUUUGGCUGCCGAAGUUACGCACAAAAGCGUUUUGAGAUAAAUUAAGUGUAAGAUGAAAAUGAACAAACGAGUAGCGUCGGACGAAAAGCGAAGGCCACUUCUUUUUCACUGUGGCCAUGUUUCAAUUUUAUCGAACUACCGGCGAAAUCGAAACCCCCGGGAAACGCGACGUGCUCGCCCUUCCUUUUUGUUCCUUGGUGUGAGGAAGGAAUUCGCAUAUGCUUUGGCUAAAACAAACAGAAAGCGCGAUAACUGCGUUAUGUAGAACAUCAUAUUUUUGUAGUAUAUAACAUAAAGCUUGAUAGCAGUGACGAGAGAAACGACUAUCUGUUUGUAAUAUUAGUUUCCUUGCUAAAAGCGCUCCAAGCAGGUCGCUUUCUUUAUUGUAUUGUGUGCGCGUGAUAUGGUUGUCUCCCUCUUGAUUAUAUUCUAUUCUGUAAGCGACGUGGUUAGUCUGCAGGGGUUAAUGCAGCUGUCGUAGGUCAAUGAAUGUCGAUCAAAAUAGCGUGUUUGACACGGUGUGGAUCUACGCGAAUUGAGAAUGUAGGAACCGGAAAAUCAGUGCUCAAAACAACGACGAAUGACGUGGACAGGUUGGCGUCUUGCGCAUCCGAUUAGGCGCAAGAACGUUGGUUCAGAGUUUUAUUUAGUGCUGUUUCAAGUUCCCCUAGUUGUUCAUGGUUGUUACGAAAACAUAGCAUACGUACUAGCAAUGUAGCUUGUUUCAACGAUGACCAUCGUUUUGAAGUAGAUAGCAAAGAUUGUUCUCAUGGCAGGCAAAAUUAUAUCAAAAAGGUGCUUAGCAUACCUCACCUGCUUGAAAGAGACGCUUGUUGUUGCUAGGAGAGCAAAAAUAUGUGUUGUGACAUGUUCCACUGACGUAGCUCACGCCGCUCAUGGGAGUUCGGUUGAUGUCAAAUCUUGUGGUGCCUUUCUUGUUCGAGACUGCCUCAGUGUUGUUGGUUCGUUUAUUGGCAGUUACCGCUGAGUUGUAUGAUGUUAAGACAUGUUCAAGCGGUCGUACGUGAAGGGUGUCGCAAUGUAGGUUGACACCCAUGUCGGUGCACGGUCAAAGACACUUUGGGCUGCGCACGUACAACAACCGUCCAUACCUUAUCGCGCGUAUCCUUCCUUGAAGGUAGAAGAGGCAAGUGACAGGGAUAGCCUUUGUGCUCAGCCGUGAGAAGGUGCAAGAGGCUGCUCUCUGCGCUGUAUCCAACGUGACUGGGAUUCUUGCUAAGCCUCAAUAAACCCCGUAGCAUUUGGUGGAGGUGCAAGGUACCCUAACGACUCGCCCUUGAACUCCGGAGGCGCGCUCUGCCCGCCGAUGCCGCCAAGGCCAUGCCAGACGAUGCCGGUGAGCAACCCACUUCGUCAACUGGACCAGUCACCUGCGGUGCCGUUCGCCGACAAGACCCAGUUGUAUUCAGUGGCACCGCUGGUACUGACGUCGACGACUGGCUUUCGUCGUACCAACGGGUGAGCAACCACAAGUGGGACGAUCCGACAAAACUCAUCAACGUUAUUUUUUAUCUUGCGGAUGUCGCCAACCUGUGGUUACGAAACCAUGGGGCAACUAUUGCGACAUGAAAUGACACUGCUUUUGUGGAGUAUUUGGCCGUCCGGCUGUGCGAAAGCUUCGCGCCGAAUGCCUCCGCCAAAGAGCUCGACAGCCUGGCGAAAUUUCAUUAGUUAUAUCGAAGACGUCAUCGAUCUCUGCAACCGAGUGAUCCAAACGAUGACCGAGGAAGAUAGGAAUAAUCCUCACGGGCUUUGAAGACGACGCUUUUCAAAUGCUCCUGGCUAAGAAUCCUACCACCAUUGCAGCCGUGGUCACCUAUUGCCAAAGCUUUGACGAAUUACGCCGGUAACGAGCGCUCGCCCGCCAAGCUGUUCUUCACGUGGCCUCCCUUUCCAGUGAAACUUUAUUUGGGCCUAGUUGGUACAUAAUUCUGAACUUGAACUUAGGGGUCUUAGGUGUUUGCGCUGUAAGUUUAAGUCCCUUUCCAGUUUGGCAGCUGCUCCCGGACAGAAUGAUGACGGUCUCUGCUGCCUCAAAUCAAAGCCUUCAUUCGUGAAGCGAUGGCCAGCCAGCUCUCGCUGCUCCUUCUCACCCAGGCGAAUGCCCAACCUUUGUCGUCGGCCGUGCAGCAGUCCAUCCGCGAGCAUGUUGCAGAGCCUCUUCCGCCAGUCCACCAGCAACCUCUGGUUACGGCACCGCUGACGUACGCGAAAGUCACGUUGCGUCCUAGACAGACGGCGCUCCUCUAUUCGACGCCACAGCUGCCCUACUCGACGCGGCUCUACUCCCUGCGCCUCAAAUGCCUCCUCAGUACAUCUGGCCGCGAGGUCCCUGGCGCACGCGGGACAACAAGCCGGUAUGCUCUGCCUGCGGUCUCGCGGGACAUGUGGCACGCUUUUGCCGUUGCCCGCUGCCGCGUUCGGACGACAUCCCUGAACCGCACGUGACUGCAGCCCACCAGGAUGCUGAUUCUAACCCAUCGCCGAACUUCUGAACCGGUCGUCAGAACUUCAGCAGCCGUCGUUCACCAUCACCGCGUCGCCGUUCGAUAUCACCGAUGCCUUGUCGCCCGCCUUCCAACGAGUGAAACUAAGUGCCGCAGCUCCGGAGGCAAGAGCUGCACGCUUGUAGAAAUGUCCAGUACUCUGCAAUCACCGCAAAACAUUAUAGAAAUAAAGGUUUAAGGUGCUGCUACAAUCUCACUAGUCGACACGGGCGCUACGGGGUUUGUUGGCGGUUAGCGGGAACCCGGUCACGUCGGGUCCAGCGCCAGAGAGCAGCCGAGCAGUUCCAACCAAGCGCCAGCACGAGGAAAGCAGCGAAACCGAUCCUUUAGUCUUGGUCUUCCUCACUUCGGGAACCAUGCGGCCGCAGCAACGCUUAUCUUCUUCAUUAUAGUAUGUGUUUUCGUCAAAAAAAAAAUACGAGCGUAGAUGAGACAAAUGAUCGAGAGAAAUGCGAAGAGUGAGGGCCGUUCUUUACCUGAAAAAGGAAAACGUUUACCUCAGCAAAAUGCUGUCCUGCCUUGUCGCUGCGACGGUGUGUCUCAAAGAGUAUUUGUUCCGUUGCACUCGUUCCGGGCUGCUAUCGCAAACUGCCGCUCGGUUAGGACUAAAUACCUACGACAAAGUGGCAGUUAGUCGAACACGCGAAGGACUUUUCUUUUUUAUUAUUAUUAUUUUCGCAGCCGCUAUAGGUCGGCCGAGUCACGGGCGAUAAGCAAAACACAUCCAUCGAACACUUCUCUAUGGUUUCAUGCAUUCCCUAUAUGCUCUGAACAUACGUGAGUCCGCUCCGAACGCUAGUAUGUACCCCUCGGUAAUUUUUCAACGCACCCGUUGUAAUAUCAAGAUGACACGCACAAUUUAGAGCGUAGAGUUUUCCUCUCGAUAUCGCUUGAGAAUAUAUGCCACAUAUGACGCGUGUUCCAUAGUUGUGUGAACUAUCCUUCAAAGAAAUAAGCUCCCUCGAUAAGCGUUUGCUAAGACACCUAUGAUCGGAAAGCAAGUUGUUUACGUGGGCUUUUUCGUAAGCCACGCGAAAGAUAUGUAAGCCCACCCUCGCUAUUCUUUCAUACGACCGAGAUUUCCGUAACGUUUGGACCUCCCGAACACUCGACGGGCGGCUUGACGAAGUUCACGCCGAAGACAUAGUACAGCAAUGGCCAAACAGAAAAACUCAAGGUGUCAAAAGAAAAGAAAAAAAUUUAUUCAAGUGCCUCGCGAAACAGGGGCCUCGAAGUUAUUACAGUCAGUACAAGUUAGCCUGACACCAGAUUCAAUUCGUGCAGCAAUCUCCAUCGCGAAAAUUUAGAGCCAAGGGAGCUUUUUGACUGUUUCUCCUGUUCGCUAAGAAGCUGUGACCCAGGCUGCCGACACGCAAAUUUGUUACAAUACUCUCGCGGAAAGAAGAAGAAAGAAAAAGAAAACGACAAACUAGUGUGCGUUUGAAAUCGAGGGGCAGAAAAUUGCUUCCUGAACACGCAGACGAUUGCAAGCCACAGUUUUGCCGCCCAGCGCGACGUUUUUCAUGCAACAAAUCAGCAGCGCUACAAAACUCUGAGCCUACACGUGAGACACUCUCGCAACGUUCAGCACGGACAGGCUUUAGCUGAGUGAGAGACAGUUAUGUUGCAUAGGUGAAAGACGGCCGAUUGCUCCAAAUGCGCCAACUCGAACUGUUUUCUUUUUUUGUUGUAGUUGAAUCAGCUUAUUGCUUUUUCUCGAUCAGCCAUCAGCAUCUCACUACGUGCUCAUUGCAGGCAGGCGUCAAAUUCAAACUCGAGAAUUGUCCUAGAAAAAGCUGUCCGGCAUCAGAGUGUAGCAUUACGCGUUUGUCGCAGUAAAGAGAAUGAAAAAAAAAAUACGAUCAUAAUACAUAGACGCUAAAGCUGGCCAAGCAAGCACUCUAACGCAAGCAAGUUAACUCGUUCAGAGAUGUAGGAUUUGCUGUGCCUUUUUUGAAUAUAACAAAGUCAUUCCUGCACUGUAAAUAACACGUUUUUAUAGCAGCAGUUUCCCUAAACUUUUUGACUACAGCACCACCAGUCCAUAUAUAAAUAUAUAAAGAUAUAUAUUAUGUAUAGAUUAACUUCUAUAGGAACAGAGACCAUUUGCUCAUUUUAUCACUUCUGCUUCAGCAGACCUAUACUCUCCAGCAAUAUUAUCCUAAGGGUUAGUGACCAGUCCUACGUGCAGUCUCUAGGCACGUACGUCCUGUAGCUUUCUGGCGGCGUCAUUAAUCGCCGCUUUUGCCAGUUUACUCCUGAUCACCACUUCAUUCCCUCCGUGCUACGCACAGCCUCUAAACGCUGAUGUCUAUGGCCAGCCCUCCGCACUGCGGCCUCAAGAAUAGAGAGUUCGCGCGUGCGAGUAGAUCAUAGCCGCUUGUCUGUAUGUAGUCUAGCUACUUUACUUCCCGAGAAAGAACUCGGACGUCCCCAGAAGUCCCCUAGUUCGCCCUUCUGGAUCCCGCCGGCGCUUCACGUAGAGUGCGCAGUUCUAUUGAAACGCGAUACUCAGAGCGCACGGCUGGCGGCACUUUUUGCGCCACUGAAGAACAAUGGGCGAUCGCUGGGAGACUAAAUGCAGUCAUAAUGCGUCACAAAGAUAACUGAUUUCAUUGUGUACCACGAUACCUCGUUGUCCCCAGCAUCCACCGGUAGCGCGAAAGACGGCGGUAGCCACGCUCUCCGAGUGUCGUGUCUCAAUAUAUAGCAAUUAAAUAUGUAAUUUGGCCCGCCACACAUAAAGGUUAUCGAGAGAGAGAGAGAGAGAGAGAGAGAGAGAGAGAGAGAGAGAGAGCCUGAAAUGCAGCUGACACGCUGCGAGUGAAGCCGAGGUGUCAUUUUACCAUGGGAAUUAGAGCAGUUGCGCCCAGCAGCCCGCAGGAGGAGUGUCUCGCCUCACUAUACAGGUUAGUAAAUUGGGCCAUGCAAUUCUUGCUCCAUAUCUCUACCUAUGUGCCACAAGUUUUCCACAAACAAUUGAAUAUCGAGACAAGUUUUAUCGUCUGCAGCGUAAUCCAUAUUUCAACCAGAGUAAGUAGUCUUUCUGAAAACAGCUGCAGUCGUUUCUUUUUAUUAAACUACCGUUCGGCCGAGAAAAAGCACUUGCGCUACGCGCGCCCUCGCACCGGCGGGGCCUUCGUCUAGAUACAACAAUGCGCUUGCCCGCGGCUUCGCAUCUUCACGUAAGCAGCUGCUGGGGCUGCCAUUUCAGGAAUCCUCUCGAUGACCUCGUCGAGCUCGACUGCGAGUACGCGUGUUGCCAAGCUGCAGAUCGACCCAACCGACACGCGCGAGCGCUGCUUUCGCGGCCUCGUGUUCAAUAUUCAGAGAGCAACAGAAGUCGCGAACCUGGUGCACAGUUCACAAAGCUUUUCGUUCGUAAGAACUGUUUGUCAGAGGACGGUCGCCUUCGCUGAUCCCUACCACAACAUCCUGGCGCAUCUGCUUACCGACCACACUAUAGCGUAUGCGAAUUGUUUCUUGAAUACGGGCCCUGAUGCGGGGCUGACCAAGGCCGCGCGCGUCUGAGCCGCAACAAGAAGUCGGCUGGCUUGAGCACCCGCAAUUCAGCCUUCAGACUCACGCGACGGACGUCAUAAUUUCCUGUCAACCCAUUUGAAGCGGCCGUUUCAAAUUUAAGGUAGAUCAAUCAACGGCAGCAGAACGCACUUGAAAGUUGUCACGCGCAAGACGGUAACCAGAGUCCUUCAAUACUUCCGCUCUAACUAUACUGACAUAACUAAUAAAGCAAACCGCAGCUGUACUGAAUCUGGCGGCACUGCGACUUAAUGAUCUCCGAUGACUGCGCAGAUUUUUUUUUUUUUCGAGCUUUGCGUUACGAAAAAAAAAGGCAGCAAUUAAACCGCGAGAGCGUCCGCGCGUGUCUAAAGGGUCGAAAAAACAAGGGGAGAUGCCGUCGACGGGCCAUCGCAAACUGAAGCGAGGGUCUUGCAGUACUCCUUUAGACAUCGUCUUCUCACUGCUGUCACUUUUAAGCUCGGGUACUAAAUGUGAUAUACAUUUUCCAGUGCGUUAGCCCCCGAUUCGAGGCGCUAAUUGUGAUUAAAACACCGCGUUCGUGUUUAUUCAGCUUCUGCAGAGCUCUGCGCUUGUGCUCGCGCGGGCUGUGAAUUGUACCUAGUGUUCAACCCCGUGAGCUGACCUCUUGACUCGUGUAACGUCAUCGUGAGCAGGCACACGGAAACAUGCAUCACCCUUUCAUUUCUAAUGCUCUCAAUAAUGAGAGUAUCUGGUGCUUCCGUUUCUCAUUAGUUUAGGCUACCAGUGUACAAGGUUCUGCGGCACAGUGAUCAAUUUCGACGCGACGAAGUCUAAAGGUUGCUAUAGUCACUGUUCGCCGCCUAUGUUACAAGGCGCGUCCAUGAUCACCUGAACGACUAGCCAGGUGGAAUUUUGUACAAAGUGUUUUCUUUGCCGUACUGCAUCAGGUGGUUAAUAACGCACAGCGAAAUUUGCGUUUUUGCCUUACGUACUCUAUUCGCUUAUAGCCACAGCAUCAAUGUUAAAAAAAAAAAGAUAACCAUGGAGCAUGUACCGUACAUCUCGUCGCUUAAUAAGUGCGGCAGCUUAUCUGUCCAUAUUUUGACGCUGGCCCGUUUAGCACGCGGACAAAGUUUCAUAUUGAUUUAUUUGCCCUUCUAUUAUAUUAUACUUUGGGGCAGUGACUUGUGAGACGUAUUUUUCUUUCCGGCGAAAAGGCUGAGCUAGACGCUUCGAAAUAGCACAUUAUUAGCACAAAAGUGGAGCAUUUUGAUUAACCGCGAUGUCGAGAAAGAAACGUAAGCCUAUAACCUCAUACGGCACCAAUAUCGAAACAUUUUCUGCUCUAUUGAGAUAUGUCUCAAAUACGACUACAAGAGGCAUUACGAUGCAAUUAAGUUAUGCAGAAAACCCGGCAUACGUACGUGCUUACUACGACUUCUGUGGAAUAUGGGCGCACGUUGUUACGUUUUAUUAUCAGUAUUGACAUAUCUUACACCUCAACGCGAACGCCUGUCUCUCGAUCUUCGCGAUUUCUUGUUGCGAACAGAAGAAAUCCCAUGCAUCUGCUCCCCGCAACGGUUUCCAAUGCCAAAAACAAAAAGCUCCUUCACACUAGCGAUACGCCCCCACUUUCCUUGCAUGCAAGAAAACUUUCUUGUUGCGCUACCACUCGCUUUGUUUGACCAAACAUCGUCUGCUGCUUCGACGCAGAAGCAGCUUUUCUUCUUUUUCUAAAUUAGUGCGUAGCGUCUUUUUCACACCCCGUGAGGAGACCUCUUGCAGCCGAGUGCAGGCCGAGCGCUUCCCUGUGCUUCAAGGCAGAUCUUGACGACCUUGCAGUAUAUUUAUGUGUAGAUCUACAAAGAUCAUAGCGCGUAGAAAAUCUUCCUCGGUUUCCUUUCUUUCCUCACUUUUACUUUGAAAGAAAGAAAAGGAAGAAAGAAAAGCUCCUAUAUCUCAGUAACUAGCACGCUACAUAUGUUUAAUAACAUAUACAGUGUAUACAAGCUUCUGCCUUGCGAUGACUCGACGCGAGACGGGACGGCCUUUUGCCGGCAGACAUACAAACGAACAUGAAAAUAAAAAGCGACAGUUUCAGUCAAUAUUUCGUGCUGCAGCAGGUACAGAGACGCACAUCGAAGCGAUAGCACAAUAGCGUCGGUGUCCGACGGUAACCAAACGCAACAAAAGAUCAAACGCAUAAGUUAGCGCAUGACGAAAUGUAUUUUCUCCUAAGAAAGAGUGAGCGGAGAGUGCGGGAGGGAUUGCUAUUUGUUGGCGCAUGACUCUCUGUCCGAAUGCAGGCUGUCAGGCACUGAACUGUCCGGUCUACCCAAAGUGUUUGCUGCAGAUGCGAGAAAAAAAGCAGACGAUACACUAACCAAAGAAGAGGCGCAGUCUGAGAUGCCGCAGCUGAAAGGGUCUACGUACUGCACAGUGUAUAGCUUUAGCUCCAGUGUUGGUGUCUCCUUACCUUAUACUUCAACAAGAACGACAGGCGACAGGCUUCUUCAAACGUGAGGCAAAAGGAUGCUGUUGCACAGUUAAGUGGACAGAUGGUAUGCUAAUCAGGAAGUUGAAGGACGAGUACGAAAACAGCUGGUGGAACUGAACAUUUCUGUAAGAGGUUGUGAGUGUACCUGCUCUUAAAGAGACCCAGGUCAAGGAGUCCAUUCAGCGCUCAGCCCAGCCACAUAUGAGCAUAUCGUCAAAAUACAUCGUCCGCCAAGACGCUGGGGAAGCACCAAAGAAUCGCUCGCGUGUAUGACUCGCGCUAAGCAGCUGCUGCUCAGCGUGCACUAAAUGCGCGUGUAUGUAUUUACUAGUUUGGCACCGAGUGUGUCUUGAAAAGUGUGACUGCGCUUGUGUAGCUUGCGUCGCUUGACCAAACAAAAAACAGCUCGCAAAACCACUGCGCGUUCACUACACUACGGUAGGAUAGGUGCAAUAUAUAUUUUUUCUAUGGUGCUCGAUAUCUCACGGCCGCCCACACACGCAGCGGUCUCUACAUUGUUCUUGUUUUGUUUGUUUUUUUCUUAUUUCCGCUGCCUCGCUGCUGCCGCUGUCCCCCGGUAGCAAGGCCAGUGACAGCACAGAGAAAAGUUCCAACAGCGGCCCACACAUCCCACCGAAGCCGCUUUUCCCGACGCCCGCGUAGGCUGUUUCAGCAACGACACGUGUGUGCGCGCAGCAGCUUCGCUUCCUUGUAUGCGUUUGCCCUCCGGCUGCGCAAAGCGCACACAAUCACUGUAGCGCGUCAAAUUUCGUCCACUCAUAGGCCGACCCCACUUGCACAUAGCGACCGCUCCCAAUCAUGGCCACAUGGGCGCUGCCUGUGCAGCAUAGACAUGCUAAUGUCGAGGCAUCGGUCGACGCUUUCCCGAAUCAUUGCAAAGUGACAGAAUAGGAGCGUGCCUGUCACAGCCGGUUCGAAACGACCUGCCAUGCUUUGGUCACACGGCCAAAAACGACGAGAGGGACCGAGAUUUUCGACACCGCCGCUCGGGCCAGAUCCAGUGCCUCGAGCACAAACAUGCGACUAAAACAGGCUCGUAUUAUGCGUAGCUCAUUUGUCAUGUAAAGGAAAUGCAUGCGAGUGAGAGGCAAUGUCGAGGAAAACAGACAGUUUUCGGCAGCUUUCUCUGCGAGUUAAUCCGCAAGUGAGCACGUUUUUGGAGGCGUCGCGCGAGUACCGCACGUCGCUGUUGGCAACGGAAGAGAGAUUUCUCGAAAGCUAGGACAGCCUCCUCUUCAAUGUUCUCGAUGACAACUGGAUGGCCCUGUUCAUGGCUGACUGCAGAGAGCUAGAGGGGAAGACAGGGAGGCUAACCGGAAAUGUAUACGGUUCGCCACCCUACUCGCAGUAGGGAAAAAAAAUGGGAUGGGAGUAGAAAGUAAAGAGAAGAUAGCAAUAGGGGGACGUUCCACCUAGUUUUGUAACACCGUAGAGCCGGGCCAUAUACGGCAAGCAAAAUGAAAGCGUUCCGCCGUCACGGGUAGGUAUAGCCAUGAGAGGUAAGUAAACAUUGACACCCGUCUAUAAAUGCUAGGCAUUGCGAGUCGGUUGCGUUCCGGUGUUUCCGUAUCGUGAAAAACGAAGAGUGAGAGCUUCCCACUUGCUGCCCUCGUCCUAGAGGGCAGUUCAAGUAAGCACGAUCAAACGGCGCCUGGGCGCGUGCAUGCUUACACCGGUGCUUAUGCGGCGGGUAUCGCAGCCUAUAUAAUAGCGUGCUCGUGGUUUCCUUUAGCCAGUGUGGUGCACCUUACUUGAUGUCUACACAAUCUUAUGUCGGUGCUUGGAACGUUACUGACCGCAUUAUAGUUUUGUAGUAGAGUGCGACGCGAACAGGCAGUUGCUUUUUACUGUCUACGCUAUAUUUACUAUCAAAACGUGACAGCCCUUGGAAGCGUCCCUCUAGCGUGCACAACUGGUUAAGUGGUUGUUGUCCAUGACUAUUAAGGGUUGUGCAGGCACCGUUGCGAACGCUGUCUGAGUGUGUGUGUGUGUUUUCAGUGCUGUAAGAUCUGUGUUUCCCGGACAACAGUUACGCAUCCUUCGCGAAUGUCCAACCCGAAUUGCGCAAACGAGUGUGUUUCGUGCAGAUUCAAAUAAAUGAACAUGGCCAUGCAUAA